AGUAAGAUUCCAGAUGUCUUAAACAUGGUAAAAUCUGGAGGGGGAUCCAUUUCGACAGAUUUGGGUUAAUGGUCAUUUUUCAGUUGAGAGUUGAAGACUUCAGCUGGUUUCGCUUUGAGUGAAUUUACAAAUGAAAUACCUUAUCUAGGUAUGAUUUUUUUUUGUGAGUUAAAUUAAAGUUUUGCCGAGGGCAGUUCUAAAGAAACAGACUAAAAAGUUUUUAAAAGGUUUCCUGUGUUAUUUUGUCAUAAAAAUUUCAAAGAAAGGCCACAUUCCAACCUAGCCAUUGUCUAAACCUUGAUAUGGUUUUUGAACGCAGUCGGCGCACCACGUAUGCCCAUCUUAAAUUUGGACGCAUUCAAAUUUUGUCGCAAACUCCUACGGUGCGGGUAUCACAAGCGAUCGCCGCAACGCACGCAUCGCAUUUAGUUAGGACAUACCGUUAUAGGUAGAGGUUCGCUACUAUUUGAAAUCGGUGUUGAAUAAAAAGUUUGGAAUUAGGAUUGGAAAAGACGAAAUGGAACCAGAGGAAUUAUUAGAUCACAACAAUAAAAGACCUAUAAGUUGAUCCAUAAUAGUGAGCGAGUGGACUAAAAGUCUAUUAAGGCUUAAUGUGAAUUAAAAAUGGGUCUCGAGAAACCAACAAGAGAAACUCUAUGAAAAAAAGGUUAAAACCAAAUAUCCCCUGACUGAUGAAUAGAAGGAAUAGUAAAAAAUCUAGAGAAAAAGUCAGUGAAGUCUGAUGAAAAUAGCUUAAAAAUAAGUAUAAUAGUCCAAAGAGAAUAUUAGGAAUCUUUUUUUGGACUAUUAGAAAAUGUAGCAAGGAAUAAGCAAAUAGCGAGAAUUUUGAAUUCCAAAUAUGUUAUGGAGCAUACUUUUUGUACGAUUCUCAAUUUACAUUUAUUUCAAGUUUCGUUUGGUUAAAUAAUUUACCGCUUCGGCUCUAGAUACCUUAAUUAAGUUUUUAAGCAUCACUGCUAAAUGACAGCAUGGUAUAAAAGUGAAAAUAAUACUCAUUUGCUUAUAUGGUUUUUAUUC